ensembl:lncRNA
AUCGAGGGGCACCCGCGCUCUCAAGCCUUCCUCCGGCCGCCUGUGGCUAGCUCUCGGCUGACCCUCGCGGCUCCCCGAGGGCGGAGGCUGCCCUCUCGCUGCCCAGCUCCCAGAAGGCCUUUGCCUGCUUUGAGGGCGGGCAGUUGGCCGGGGGUGGUCCCGGGUCCGAGUCGGCUCAGCAGGGCCACGUCCAGCCUCACCGACUCCCGGUGGGACACUCGGGGUCGUGAGGGUCUCCGGCAGGGGUGCCUUUGGCUGGGGGUCUGCGAGGAGGAGCCCCCCGGGGUUCCGGCCUCCUAGACGGCCCUCGUUCUUCAUGGCGGUCAGCCCAGCCCAGCGGUGGGUGCUGGCGGUUCCCCAAGCCGGGCGUCCCUCCUUGAGUCGGGGUGCCGGAGGGGGUCCGGGUGAGGGAAGCCCUGGAGCGGGGGGGGGAGUCAGGAAGACCCGGCCUCGGCCCGCGGCCUCUGUCUGGAGGACCCGGGGGAGAGCGAAGGCCCCUGAGCCGCCGGGACCGGCCCGCUUGGCCCUCGCUUGGGUCUCGGUCCGGCGGCUCGGGGGCUCCUGCGGGCCCGGCUCCCGCCUUCGCCAGCCUUGCUGGGGCCCAGGGCGUGGGGGGUCCCCUCCAGCCUCGCCCGCGCCCACAAGGUCCGGCGGCAGUCAGGGGAGGCCUGGGGGCCCUUGGCAGGACGCGCCGGGUGCGAGGGGGCCGCGGGCAGCGCCCAGGCCCCCAGACGCCGCCCGCCCGGCCCUUCCCUUCUGCCAGGGGUCCUCAGGAGGGGCCGCCCCAAGCCCUUCCCCAGGCCCCGGCCUGGACUCGCUCGAUCUCGCCUCUUCUUGUGCCUCGUGGCCAGGACAGACGGACCCUCAGGCGGAUCAGGAAGAGCGUCCGGGGCUGGGGUGGCCGCCUGUCUGUGGUCACAAAGAACUCUCGUUGCCUGUUUUAUAGAUGGGGAAACUGAGGCUGUCUGGGGGAGCCCCGCGCUGCUCACAUCUCUGAGCUGGGAUGUGUCGGCUCUGAGGGGGCGCAGGCCCCCGGGAGGAGGGGCUCCGCUGCCAGCAUCCUGCCUCAGUGUCCCCGACUGUAAGAUGGGGAUGGCAGGAGCAGCCGCCCCAAUUGGGGGGGGCGGGGGGGCCCCGGGGCCGGCCCCCGUCCGACUUGUCUCCUCCCGCCUCCCAGGUAACGGAAGUCGCGCUCCCAGCUGUCGUGCCAGCAUCUGCAGGGGGAAGGGAGCGGGCCCGGCCCGGAGCCGGGACCCCGGAGCCGAGCCGGCGAUGCCUGUGGGACGGACCCAGCGGGGGCGCCAUCGCCGCCCUCGCCCGCCUCUGAAUGUAUUUAUUCUGCCCGGGAGUCGGCGGCGAGAAGGGCCCGGGCCGUCGCCGCCGCCAUUGCUGCUGCCGCUUUGUUGAGGACCCCCGUCCCCCCCCUCCUCUCGGGCCCGCCCGCAUGAUCUGGGCCCCUCUGCCGGGCUGGACGCCUCCGGCCCGAGCCAACGGACGGACGGACGUGGGGUGGGGGUUCGGGCUUGGGUUUUCCUCCUUUUGUCACUUUAAAGACCAAAAAACGUGUGCUUGAAGCCAGGAGAUUCGCUGGUUUAAUGUACAAAAAUCCCAAAUAAAUCCAUGUCUAAGUCACA